GAUCAUGGCUCAGGAUGAACGCUAGCUACAGGCUUAACACAUGCAAGUCGAGGGGCAGCAUGGUCUUAGCUUGCUAAGGCUGAUGGCGACCGGCGCACGGGUGAGUAACACGUAUCCAACCUGCCGUCUACUCUUGGCCAGCCUUCUGAAGGAAGAUAAUCCAGGAUGGGAGUCAUGAGUUCACAUGUCCGCAUGAUUAAAGGUAAGUUUACGUUCGUACGA
rnacentral:rRNA from 1 species